AAAGUCGACGAUACGGCCUCAGCUCGCGCCGU
rnacentral:sRNA from 1 species